CUCUGGGGUGUGGUGUUUUAAUCAAUGCCCAGUAAAGGGUUAAUGUGUCUGCUGGAUGACUCUCCAAGUCCUAAAAAUGAGCGAAUUACACAACCGGAGUGCUCGUAGCGCUGCAGACUCACACGCUGUUCUUGCAAACGGAGACGCUGAUUAAUACGAGCGCUGGAAAAGGCUUUGCUGAAUGCAUCAUUUAGCAGAGGAGCAUCUGAGCCGGAGGAGCUGAGAGACGGAGAGAGUCCUCCUUUUAUUCUCCGACCAUCUCCCUCCGGGACGUGAACACAGACGUCUCUCGAGCCUCCGGGUCUCUUCCAGGAGACAAAAGGUAGAGUCGGCGGCUAAACGAGGGGCUGGUGGAUCCAGGUCGUCUCCACAGCCAUCCAUCAGCGGGACGGCGUGGAGGGAAAUAAACGAGCUGAGGCGGAGUCAUCUAUCUGAGGCCAGCUGCAGGUGGAACCACGGGAAGGAGGCUGUGAUCCCGACCGAGACGGAAAAACAGGAGAAUGUGGCCUUUUUUAAUCAGUUUGUCGGAGGAAUCUAAUACUUUCUGGAAUUCAAUUCAGAACUAAAGAUAGUGAAUGUCAAGAUCUUCUAUCUCCUAAUAUCUCCUAAAAUCUAACCUGUAUUUGUAGUUAUGAUCUGAAUGACAACAAGUGAGAAGUUUUCCUUUAGUUAUGGCAGAAAAUAUAUGAUUUGGGCCCCACAAAUCAACUGAAAACGCAUUGACUUUUUUUGCAUUUUUGCUUCUCUCUCGAGUUACUUGAUGACUUUUUAAAUCAAUUUCUUGUCAUUUCUGAUAUUUUCGAAGUUAUGGAGGCAUAAAGUGGAAGACACCAACUGUGAGUCUGGUUCUGUUGAAGGUUUCUUCCUCAUGAGGGCUAUUUUUACAGGAAGAAAAUGAUUUUGAAUAAAGAAACUUCUGUAUCUUAUCUACACAUCAAAACCCGCUUUGUUUGUGCAUGUGUGCAUGUUAUUUUGAUGAAAUAGUAGUUCUACACACAGAAUAUUGAGUUGUAUUGAUAGUAUUUGUCUCAUAUUCAAAAUCUGUAUGUAAGCCUCCAGUAAAUGUUGUAAAUUGGCCACUGUUUGAAUUGGGAGCCUCAAGGCUGUCAUAACAAUAUACAUCCUGUUUAAUCUUCUGUGACUUAUGAGCCAAAUUUGAAGUGUGUUACAAGUUUUCUUUUAUUUUAAGCACGAGUCAAAAUACCAGCAGAAGCUAGUUUAAUGAAGAACCUUAAACAAGACGAUUAAUAAAACUUAUUACAAGACAUUGGAUGAAUAUUAAAUUGGAACUCUGGUGCUGCAGAGAACUCCAACCAGGAAGUGAGGUGACCGCAGGUGAGAUUUAUUGAACCUAGCGGCUUUUCAUGAAAACAUCCUAAUGUCGGCA